rnacentral:tRNA from 1 species
GCCUGGGUGGCUCAGUCAGUUAAGCACCAGACUUCGGCUCAGGUCAUGAUCUCACAGUUCAUGGGUUCAAGCCCCAUGUCAGGCU